GCAGUUCGUUAGGUGACCGCUGGCUUUCUUUAAUAAGAUAAGCGAGAGGAAAGUCCGGGCAGCAUAGGGCGCGACAGUCGCUAACGGCGACCGGGGGUGACUCUAGGGAAAGUGCCACAGAAACGAAACUACCCUCUUCGGAGGGAAAAGGUGAAACGAGUGAGGUAAGAGCUCACAGCAUUCCAUGGUGACAUGGCGUGAAGGUAAACCCUGUCGGCUGCAAGGAGAUCUACGUAUAAGGGCGGCUCGUCCGUAGGUCGCUACCCGCUUGAUUGAAUCGGCAACGAUUUGGCUAGAUAGAUGGUCAUCCACGACAGAACCCGGCUUACAGACGAUCUGCCUAC
rnacentral:RNase_P_RNA from 5 species